GCCGAAAUAGCUCAGUUGAGAGAGCAUUAGACUGAUGAUCUAAAGGCUCCGGUUCAAUCCCGGGUUCCGGCA